rnacentral:lncRNA from 1 species
ACUGCAUUCACCAACACAGAUUGCAACCCAUCUGUGACUUAGUGAUUGAGUCAAGGGUAAUUGACUGAGACGCAUAGUUCACUAUCUUUCUCUGGCUUACACAGUUAGUAAGUUGGUGGCAAGAUUUGAAGCCAAGUGUUUCUGACUCCAAGCCUAGUCACCUCUCUAUUAUGCCACCUCCUAGAAGUUAUCUGUGUUACUUUUGUCUUUUUCUAGAAAUAUCAUGGAAUCUCAGUAUAUGAAUGAAACAUAAGAAUGAAAUGAAGGCAAUGGAAAUUCAGAGAACAUUCUCUUUGAUAAAUAACAGAGGGAUAGAAAAAUGGUAUAUAAAAAGGAGAGAAGAGAAUGAAUGUUACCAUCAGAUCAACCCUUUAAACUGGACAACUUGCCCUCAUGGGUGAAGACCCUUGGACACUACAUGGGAGAAGUUUGUUCAGGGAUAGAAGCUUUAGGCUGGAGAGGAUCUCCCCAGGGCUGUGCGAACCUAUACUCUCUGAGAGGGGGGCUUGAUCUUCUGUGUGCUUGGAGCAGCUUGCUUGAUGAGCCAGCGGUAAUGAAUGCAACUGGAAGGAAACUAGAAUUAGCAAGGAGGAGGGCAGGCAUCCAGCUGAGGAGUUUUCACCUGAUUGCGACGAAAGCAAAGUUGUCCAAAGUUCCCCCAAUAUCUCUUUUGUGCAUUUUAGCCUGGACGGCUGAGCUGGAGCUUUGACAGCUUAGCCCCAUCGCUGCUAUUAUUGAGUUUGAAUGCAGAUUACAAAUACGUUAUCUGCAUGGAGAACAUGUUUUUGCCUUCUUUUUGGUCCUUUUUUCUUUCCAUCUUUUAAUUAAAAAAAAAAGAUCAGAACGUAUCAUUAGCUCUGCUUCUUAGUGAACCUGACUUUUCUCAAGAAAUUUACAUCUUUCUCUCAUUUUCUGUUAAGGUUUCUUAUCCUGUUUUCUCACCUAAAGAAUUAUAAUGAGAUAGAGUGAAUGAGAUCUAUGGGGAAAGCAGUGGACCUAGAGACUAAAGGUAAAAGGAUGAUUGAUGGUAUGAAAUUACCAUAAAAGUACAAUCAGGAUCAGAUUUUAAAAUGAAUUUUUAAGCAACCUAAGAGAUACUCUUUGAUUUGCAGUCUGGUAGAAUGGAUAAUGUCUCAUUCAGUGGAUAAAGUUUCUCACUGUGUGACUUGAGCUUUUUCUGAUCUUUCUGACUAGGAGUAAAAUGGAACCAAAGCCUAAAGUGGUUUUUAAUGUGGAAAAUAUCAAACACAAUAUUCUUAGUGUCAAAACCUGGGCAUAGCAGGUGAGAAAAGAAAAAUAAAUAGAAGAAUAUUACAGUGUUGGUAUUAUUG